GUGUACUGCCUGGCACACAGUAUAUGGUUCCAGGUUUCCAGAGCUGGUAGAUUUAUCACUUACUCCCAGAACUUUCCUCCGUGACACAGCAUCUUACUGAAGCCAGAUGCUGAAGUCAUCCUUGAAUUCUCCAUCACCCACAUCUCCCACCUUCAAAUGUGCCCUCUACCCCACAAUCUAUUUGAUGCACAUUGGUCAAAUUCAUCUUGAAGAAUUGAAAAUGGCUACCUAUAGAAAAAAUAAGAAGAAAAACAUUUCAAGCAGAAGAAAUAACAUUUGUCAGGGACCUAAAUUGGCAAUGACUCCAAUGUGUUUGCAGAAUGGAAGUGGGAGAAAAUUCUGUUGUACAAGCAGGGAGAAUGACUCAAGGUAAAGUGAGCAAUGAAAUGAGGGGUUAGUUUGUACAUAGCAUCGUAGUAAUGAUGUAAUUUUGGAAUGGUGGUGGGGGUCUAGAGCCGAUGACCAAGAAAGAAUUCUUGAGACAUCUGUGGUGCAAAAAGUUGUUUUUAUUAAAAUACUGAAACAGGACCAGUGGGCAGGAAGAGCUGCCCCUUGAGGAGAGACUGAAUAUAGAUUUGGGAGUUUGGAGAGAUAAAGUCGAGGGGAAGUUUCCAAGAGGAUUUUCAUAUGCUAAAGAAGACUCACCGAAUACUGCAGGCCUAGCUAUUGUCAAGCUAAGGUUGUUUUUCCCUUUAGCAAAGCAUUAACAC